CUGCUGCAGUGUGUGGGUUCCUGCUGCAGUGUUUAGAUCCCUGCUGCAGUGGGUGCAUUCCUGCUGCAGUGGGUGCAUUCCUGCUGCAGUGGG